AUCAUUACAGGAAGCGUCGAAAGACGUCUCUAUACACCACUGNUGAACCUACCAUCGUCGUGCUUCGGCAGGCGGGCAGAUAUGUCUCCUCAUAUCUGCCCUAUGAGCCUCGGUGAGGUGCCUGCCGGAGUGCAAACUCAAAAACUCUUGAAAUCAUUGUGGAGCAUCAGACAACCCAAGAAAAUAAAUUGUAACAACUUUCAACAAUGGAUCUCUUGGCUCUGGCAUCGAUGAAGAACGCAGCGAAAUGCGAUAAGUAAUGCGAAUUGCAGAUCUCAGUGAGUCAUCGAAUCUUUGAACGCACAUUGCGCCCUCUAGUAUCCUGGAGGGCAUGCCUGUUCGAGCGUCACUACAACCCUCAAGCUCUGCUUGGCGUUGGGGCUAUACGGCGAGAAUUUUUCGCCGUAGGCUCUCAAAACUAGUUGGCGGGACCGCUAGGAGGCCCGGGCGAAGUAACCACUACAGCGCCUAGGGAAUCCGAGCCAGGCUCCAGCCACGAACCAGAGGCUGCCCCAUGGGCACCUCACUCCCAACGUGUUGACCUCGGAUCAGGUAGGAAUACCCGCUGAACUUAAGCAUAUCAAUAAGCGGAGGAAAAGAAACCAACAGGGAUUGCCUCAGUAACGGCGAGUGAAGCGGCAACAGCUCAGAUUUGAAAUCUGGCCUUUGGGCCCGAGUUGUAAUCUGUAGAGGAUGCUUUUGGUGAGGUGCCUUCCGAGUUCCCUGGAAUGGGACGCCAUAGAGGGUGAGAGCCCCGUACUGUUGGACACCGAGCCUCUGUAAAGCUCCUUCGACGAGUCGAGUAGUUUGGGAAUGCUGCUCUAAGCGGGAGGUAAAUUCCUUCUAAAGCUAAAUAUUGGCCAGAGACCGAUAGCGCACAAGUAGAGUGAUCGAAAGAUGAAAAGCACCUUGAAAAGAGGGUUAAAUAGCACGUGAAAUUGUUGAAAGGGAAGCGCUUGUGACCAGACACGCGCCGGGGGGAUCAUCCAGCGUUCUCGCUGGUGCACACCUCCCGGCGCGGGCCAGCGUCGGUUCUCUUGGGGGGAUAAAAGCGGCGGGAAUGUGGCUCUUUCGGGAGUGUUAUAGCCCACCGCCCAAUGCCCCCGAGGGGACCGAGGUCCGCG
rnacentral:rRNA from 1 species